AUACGUAGGAGGCAAGCGUUGUUCGGAAUCACUGGGCUUAAAGAGCGUGUAGGCGGGGUGGUAGGUGUCUUGUGAAAUCCCUGGGCUCAACCUAGGAACUGCAUCUGAAACUGGUAGGCUAGAGUAUGGUAGAGGGGGGUAGAAUUUCUGGUGUAGCGGUGAAAUGCGUAGAUAUCAGAAGGAAUACCAGUGGCGAAGGCGGCCCCCUGGCCCAAUACUGACGCUGAGGUACGAAAGCGUGGGUAGCGAACGGGAUUAGAAACCCCAGUAGUCC
rnacentral:rRNA from 1 species